rnacentral:lncRNA from 1 species
CACGAUGUGAUCCACCAGCCAGGAGGGACGCCAACAAGGCAUCCGAUAAGAUAAAUCUUAUAUAAAAUAUAGAUUUAUGAUAAUUAAGACUAAGCUAACAGAUGAGGAAUCCUAGUCAUUGGCCAAGCAUCAUUGAACCUAAUACAAGUUUCUGUGUAUUCAUUUGGGCCUAACUUGAGCAGGCAGCUGGCGUAAAGCACACACGUGGUGGUGGGGCUCAGGCAGUUUAUGGUGGAAAGAUUUAUCUUGAGCCUUCCUCAGACCAACAUCAACCCUGCUGGAGCAACUCCUUGAGCAGCAGGACUCCUAGAGUUAGACCCAGUUCUUGACUGUGGACCUCUGCUCAGGAGCUUUUCAAAAGGCCAAAGACAUGGGAAUAAUGAAGCAAAUACAGAAUCACAUCACC